rnacentral:lncRNA from 12 species
CCCUCCACUCUUGAGGUAGGUCCCACCAGCUACAGAAUGAAUAGUCCAAGAUUUUUUUUUUUUUUUUUUCAGGUGAAGACUGCCGGUUUCAGGAAUACAACUCUAACGUAUGGUCAAAAGAUGUCCCAGUUUUCCCAUCCAGAUCUAUCACAUCAGACUAUGUCAGGCUAAGGUCUUACACCACUUUUAGAAUCAGAAGUAGCUGGAAACCACUGACUGAAGUUGAGGACAGAAGUCGGUACAGAAUAAAUUUCCAGGGCUGCUGGCAUCGAUGCAGGGUAGGUGUAAUUACUAGAGACAAGGGGAGGACAGAAACUUGGAGGAAAGCCUGUAUUUUCACGUUCACAGAAAUAUCUAAGAGUUGCAUUACUUGGCACAAUUGGUCAACUGUCAGGAGACGGUCAGAAGACGCGGUGCCAGAGGAGAUGGGAGUCGGAAGAGGCGUGUUUGCUCUGGCAGGGGAGACUGCUCCUGCCUUCUGCAUACAACCAGGCCGGGCCAUCUGAACCCCGGGAUGUUCGGGUGGGACUGGAAGAGGGCGUGGGCAGAGGUCCAGCGGGGAGCUGCUACUGGCCAGCUUCCUGGCAUCAACCCUGCUAAGCGCUCACACACCGCCCUUCCUCGUUAGAAGGGACCCUAGGGCAGGCCCGGCCACCUGCUGCGCAGCCAGCAGCAGUCUACAGCGGAGCACGCCCACGGGGCGAAAGGGCGCCCUCUGCAGGUGGUACCGCGCCAGGGGAAGACUCCAGCAACAGUUUUUAAAAUCCUGCGAGUCCCACACCUGCCAACCCGCAGGCCUUUAGAAAAUAUUCCGAGAGUGAAUAAAUUAGCCAAUUCC